GGGAACUGCAUCUGAUACUGUUAAGCUAGAGUAGGUGAGAGGGAAGUAGAAUUCCAGGUGUAGCGGUGAAAUGCGUAGAGAUCUGGAGGAAUACCGAUGGCGAAGGCAGCUUCCGGGCAUCAUACUGACACUGAGGCUCGAAAGCGUGGGUAGCAAACAGGAUUAGAUACCCUGGUAGUCCACGCCGUAAACGAUGUCUACUAGUCGUUGGGUCCCNUGAGGACUUAGUGACGCAGCUAACGCAAUAAGUAGACCGCCUGGGGAGUACGGCCGCAAGGUUAAAACUCAAAUGAAUUGNCGGGGGCCCGCACCAGCGGUGGAGCAUGUGGUUUANUUNGAUGCAACGCGAAGAACCUUACCUGGUCUUGACAUACACAGAAUCUUGUAGAGAUACGAGAGUGCCUUCGGGAAUUGUGAUACAGGUGCUGCAUGGCUGUCGUCAGCUNGUGUCGUGAGAUGUUGGGUUAAGUCCCGCAACGAGCGCAACCCUUGUCCUUAGUUACCAGCGGGUUAAGCCGGGAACUCUAAGGAUACUGCCAGUGACAAACUGGAGGAAGGCGGGGACGACGUCAAGUCAUCAUGGCCCUUACGACCAGGGCUACACACGUGCUACAAUGGUAGGUACAGAGGGCAGCUACACAGCGAUGUGAUGCGAAUCUCAAAAAGCCUAUCGUAGUCCAGAUUGGAGUCUGCAACUCGACUCCAUGAAGUAGGAAUCGCUAGUAAUCGCGGAUCAGAAUGCCGCGGUGAAUACGUUCCCGGGCCUUGUACACACCGCCCGUCACACCAUGGGAGUUGAUUGCACCAGAAGUGGUUAGCCGA
rnacentral:rRNA from 1 species